CAGCCGCCGCGGUAAAACGUAGGUGGCAAGCGUUGUCCGGAAUUAUUGGGCGUAAAGGGCUCGCAGGCGGUUUCUUAAGUCUGAUGUGAAAGCCCCCGGCUCAACCGGGGAGGGUCAUUGGAAACUAGGAAACUUGAGUGCAGAAGAGGAGAGUGGAAUUCCACGUGUAGCGGUGAAAUGCGUAGAGAUGUGGAGGAACACCAGUGGCGAAGGCGACUCUCUGGUCUGUAACUGACGCUUAGGAGCGAAAGCGUGGGGAGCGAACAGGAUUAGAGACCCCAGUAGUCCCUGUCUCUUAUAC
rnacentral:rRNA from 1 species